AGAGAAAUUCCUGUAUCAUCAAAGCAAUUUUUGUUUCUUAGUUUCUUUGAGGGGGCGAGUUGUAUGUGUCUGUAUUUUGUUAUAUGCAGUCAAAAUGAAUCCAACAUUGGGGUGGGGAGUUUGAUUUAGGAUACUUGAGUUUAAGUUGCCUAGUAGAUAUCCAAUUGGAGAUGCUGGGUAGGCAGCUGGGGUAUAUUAGUCUGGAGGGCAGAAGAGAGGCCUCAGAAUCGUCAGCUUUCAGAGGGCGUUUGAGGCUAUGGGAUUAGAGAAUGCUUUCACCCAGAGGUGAGUGUAGAGAGUAAGAAGAAGGUCUUCAAGGACUAAGCUCUAGAGCACUCCAUAGUUUAGAAAAGGACUGAAGGAAGAAGGUUGAGAAGGAGUAGUAAGUGAGGCAGGAGGGAAACUGAGAGAGUCAAGUGUCCUGAAAUUUGCCUGACAUUAACCAUACAAAUGUUUUCUUAGCUCAGUCUCCAAGGCAAUAGAAAUAAAAGCAAAAAUACACCAAAUGAGACCUAAUCAAGCUUAAAAGCUUUUGCACAGCAAAGGAAGCCAUAAAAAAAAAAAAAUGAAAAAAACAACCUAUAGAAUGGUAGAAAAUAAUUGCAAAUGAUGCAACUGACAAGGGCUUAAUCUCUAAAACAUAGAAACAACUCAUACAAUUCAAUAGCAAAAAUAAAAAUAACCCAAUUGAAAAAUGGGUAGAAGAACUAAACAGACAUUUCUCCAAAGAAGACAUAGGAAUGGGCAAGAGGCACAUGAAAAAAAUGUUCAACAUCACUAAUUAUUAGAGAAAUGCAAAUCAAUACUACGAGGUACCACCUCACACCUCUCAGAAUGGCUGUAAUUAGUAAGUCUACAAAUAACAAAUGCUGGAGAGAGUGUGGAGAAAAGGGAACCCUCCUACACUGUUGGUAGAAAUGUAAAUUGGUACAACCACUAUGGAAAACAGUAUGGAGGUACCUCAGAAAGUGAAAUAUAGAAAUACCAUAUGAUCCAGCAGUCCCACUCCUGGGCAUAUUAUCUGGAAAAAACUUUCAUUCAAAAAGAUACAUGCACCCCUAUGUUCACUGCAGCACUACUGACAAUAGUCAAGAAAGACAUGGACACAACUAAAUGUCCAUCAACAGAUGAAUGAAUUAAGAUGUGGAAUAUCACAAUGAAAACUUCUCAGCCAUAAAAAAGAACAAAAUAAUGCCAUUUGCAGCAACAUGGAUGCAACUAGAGGUUCUCAUACUAUGUGAAGUAAGUUAAAAAGAGAAAGACAAAUACCAUAUGAUAUCAUUUAUAUGUGGAAUACCAUAUGAUACCACUUAUAAGUGGAAUCUAAUACAUGACACAGAUGAACCUAUCUACAAAAAAGAAACAAACUCAUGGACAUGGAGAACAGACUUGUGGUUGCCAAGGGGGAAGGGGAGUUUGGGGUUAGUAGAUGCAAACUAUUGCAUUUGGAAUGGAUAAGCAAUGUGAUCCUGCUGUACAGUACAAGGAACUAUAUUCAACCACUUGUGAUGGAACAUGAUGGAAGAUAAUAUGAGAAAAAGAAUGUAUAUAUGUACAGUAUAAGUGGGUCACUUUGCUGUAUAGCAGAAAUUGACAGAACAUUGUAAAUCAACUAUAAUAAAAAUAUUAAAAAAAGAAAACAAGAAAGAUGAGGACUACGAACUGGCCAGUAGAUUUGGCAAUACGAAAUGUAAUGAGACAUUAGACAAGAGCAAUCUCAGAGAAGCAGUGGGUACAGCAGCAUGAUUGGAAUGUAUAAAAAGAGAAUGAGGAAAAGAAGUAGAGAUAGUGAGUUUAGACAGUUGAGUAAAUUUGCUUUAAAGGGGUACAGAGAAAUGGGGAGGUAACUAGAGGAGGCUUCAGGUCAAAGGAGUUUUUCCCUUAAUGUGUGGGCUCUUACAGGUAUAUGUGCAGGUGGUAAUAAUACUGUAUAGAGGAUAAAACUAAUGCAGGAGGGGGGAAAGUGACAAUUGCAGGUAUGAGUCCUUGAGGAUAUAAGAGAUGAUGGGAUUCAUCUGUGUUCUUCAUAGCUUUAUCUCCAAGGCCCAGAAUAAUACUUGGCACAUAGUAGGUGCUCAAUAAGUUGAAUGAAUACAUAUAGGAUUCUAUCUUAUCCUAGAAGUGAUUCCUGCUGAAUGCAGGUUGUCUAUUUUCUACUUUCCUUUGUAAUUCUUUUCUCGUGAGGAGCUAUCCACAACCUGUCUGGCUUUCAAUGGAAAUGGUUUUAUAUAUUUAUCUUUGGAAUGCACCUAUACAUAUCAAACAUGACUCAAGACUUCUAAAAACCUAAAGUCUAAUUUAUAUGAUUGCUCUCGUAACAUAGGAAGCACCUUGAGCAACGGACCUAUAUCAAUAGUUGGCUGGUGAUGAUGGUAUUUCCUCAGGAAGUUAAAUUAACCUUUUACAGUUUAGCAGGAAACUUGGGUGGGAGUACCUAAAGACAUUCUGAAAGUAAUGCGACAUUUUCUACCUUACCAGUUUGCUAAGAUUAGCUUUAUUCAUUAGAUCAGGUUUCACAAUGAAGAACUUUAAAAGAAGCCCAAGGUUAAAAUUACAUCCCUGACUCACUUCCCAAUCUUUAGAUGUAAUAUGAGUGCCCAUUGGAAGAGUGAGGGACUCUCGUUUUUGCUGGAUAAACUGAGUAAUAGUGAAAUGCCAGUUCAUCUUCAUCUGUGGGAAGGAACUAUAUUUGCUCAGGAAUGCUGAGUUCUAGCAAUGGCAUAGAUGGCCAGAAUCAAUACUGGCUAUGCCACUUAUUUGGGUGUCUUGGCUUAUUAACCUUUAUUUUACUCAUCUAAAAAACACAAACUAGCAGGGUUAAAUGAGCUAACGUUUGUAAAUUACUAGCAUGCAACACAUGGCUCAAAAUAAGUCUUAAACAAGCUAUGACGAUGAUUCUUACACUACAAGAGGCCCUGGAACAGUGAGGUAAGAGUUUGUGGCCUGCACUAUUUGCAGAGGAUAUGGUUUUUCCUACAUAGAAAAUCUCGAGGAACUUAUAUAACAAUAACAAGUAAAUAAAUUCAGCAAAGCUGCAAGAUAAAAGGUUAAUAUUAAAAAAUAUUUUUGUAUGCUAGCAGCAAACAAUUGGACAAGAAAAUAAAUUGCAUUUACAGUAAUCUCAAUAAAACAAAUACCAAAAAAAUAAGAAAAUUAAGUUCUUUAUAUUUAAAAUGAUAAAACUUGACUGAGGAAAAAUGAUAGACCAUGCUGAAGUGGAAGACUUAACAUUGCGAAGGCGGCCAUUCUUCCCAAAUCAAUCUAUAGACUUAAUGAACUUCCAGUAAUUCUAGCAGACAUCUCUGUCAAAUUAGACAAUCUGAUUCUAAAAUGGAUAUGGAAAUGCAAAGGUUCUAUAAAGUAAUUUUAAGAAAGAAGUCCAAAACUGAAGGACUCCACUAACCUGAUUUUAAAUCUCACUAUAAAGCUAUUGCCAUCAAUACAGUUAAGUGAAGGAAAAAAGGUAUUAUUGCUUAAGGGAACAGAAUAGAGGGUCCAGAAAUAGAUCACUAAUGUACGGUCACCUAAUAUUGGCAGAGGUGAAGUGGCACUGCAGCGUGCACCUCCCAAUCCUAGUCAGGGAACCUGCUGAUUCCUCUUCGGGGUCAAAUGCCAUGACUCUUGUUCAGAAUGAGCUUUCCUUCCGUGCAGCAUUUUACUCAUUUCAGGAUUUCAGUGUUGGUACUCUGCUCAGAAUAAUACCUAUGCUUUCCAACUACAUACACUGCUGUUGUUGUAAUUAUUGUCACUACAACACCAGUUUAGGGUUUGUCCUCUGAAAUGAGGAUUACAGUCCUCUGAGGGACCAGUCUAAAACUAAUUUAGAGAUUCCUUCAACUCACCUUCAGCUCAUUUACAUUCAACUCACUGAAUGUAAAUAACAUUUCAGUAACAUUUACAGAAAACACUACAUUCUUUGGGCUGCAUAAGUGCAAGUGCAUGGCAAUGGUAUCUUUGGGGCAUACUCUAUGAAUUAAAAUAAAACCUUAGGGCUUCAGAAAAUAAGCAUGCACUUAUUCACUGUUGGCCUAAUAUUCUAAAAAGUAUUAAAGGAGAUAGGAACAGCAGAUAUGGUCUCUGGGCUGAGAAGCUGACAAACUAAUUUGGGAGAUAAGGCAGACACACACCUGUGCCCUGCUCUUCACUCCAUUCCUUUCUGUAUUAAGCUCACGGUUGCCCUGCUUGGAUUCAGGGACUCUAGGAGAUGCACUCACGCUCACUGCCUCUUCACACAGGAAACUGCUGGAGAACAUGUCAGUGUGAGCCAGUGUGUUACAGGCUGCAAGUCCUACAGGAAUUCAGAGAUGAGAAUUCUCCUACACAGGCUGAUGCAGUGGUUCACAGCAGGUACUGGAGACAGCUGUAUCUCCCCAUGUGCAGAGAAAUGUCACAGCAAGUGCUGCUGGCUGCCAAGAGGACACGGAAAUGUUCCGCGUAUGUCUGCCGAGUUGUCUUAGCUGAAGAUUCAAAGUCAAACCUCUGAGUGUAGACCAGGGGUGUUUUACAAGUCAGACAUAACAUGAGAUAGGCUAAUAAAGGAUAAAUUGGGAACAGAGCACAGUUACAGCAAAUCAAAUGCCAGCAGACAAUGGAGAUGAGCACAUUUUCUUUGCUGCCGGGAAAGUGCGAUAGUGGGCAUCUUGCUCUGUGGUGAUGUUGCCUCUCGGAGCAAAUACUCUGGUAAAUGGGGAACAACCAGGAGGCUGGGUCAACGCUCUCCUCUGCCAACUACUUUAGCCCAAAAAUCAUAUAUGACUUGCAGCUAUGAUUCCAUCAGGUCAGGAUGGAUUUGUCCCUUAUAUAGGAAAGGAAUUAGAGAGGUAUUUGCUCCUUUUCCCACUGGGUCUGGAUAAUACUGAGCCACAAAUAACUAUCAGCACUUAGAAGGAGAAAGCCUCCUUAAGACCCUGAGGUUUCCUCAUUCUAACACAUGGCACAGAAU
rnacentral:lncRNA from 1 species